rnacentral:rRNA from 1 species
CCUACGGGUGGCAGCAGUGGGGAAUAUUGCGCAAUGGGCGAAAGCCUGACGCAGCGACGCCGCGUGAGGGAUGAAGGUCUUCGGAUCGUAAACCUCUGUCAGCAGGGAAGAACGGUCACUGUGCUAAUCAGCAGUGAAUUGACGGUACCUGCAAAGGAAGCACCGGCUAACUCCGUGCCAGCAGCCGCGGUAAGACGGAGGGUGCGAGCGUUAAUCGGAAUUACUGGGCGUAAAGCGCUCGUAGGCGGUAUGUCAAGUCAAGGGUGAAAGCCCCGCGCUCAACGUGGGAACUGCCUGUGAAACUGGCAAACUGGAGGGUGGGAGAGGAUAGUGGAAGUCCAGGUGUAGGAGUGAAAUCCGUAGAUAUCUGGAGGAACAUCAGUGGCGAAGGCGACUAUCUGGCACAUAACUGACGCUGAGGAGCGAAAGCGUGGGUAGCAAACAGGAUUAGAUACCCCGGUAGUC